rnacentral:snoRNA from 1 species
AGGGGAUCUAUGAUAGCAUACUAAACUGUGUUAUCUAAUCGCAAGCUCCUAGAAAGCCCUGUAGAAGAGUUGUAACCAAUGUGAGGUCCAAU